GCUCACUUCAGCUGUACAUAUAAUUGGCAUAAUACAGAGAAGAUUAGUAUGGCCCCUGCCCAAGGAUAACAUGCAAAUUCAUGAAGCAUUUUAUAUUUUU
rnacentral:snRNA from 1 species